GACAACAUGGCCGAGUGGUUAAGGCGACAGACUUGAAAUCUGUUGGGUUCGCCCGCGUAGGUUCGAACCCUACUGUUGUCG
rnacentral:tRNA from 4 species